ACGAACGCUGGCGGCGUGCUUAACACAUGCAAGUCGAACGGAAAGGCCCUGCUUUUGUGGGGUGCUCGAGUGGCGAACGGGUGAGUAACACGUGAGUAACCUGCCCUUGACUUUGGGAUAACUUCAGGAAACUGGGGCUAAUACCGGAUAGGAGCUCCUGCUGCAUGGUGGGGGUUGGAAAGUUUCGGCGGUUGGGGAUGGACUCGCGGCUUAUCAGCUUGUUGGUGGGGUAGUGGCUUACCAAGGCUUUGACGGGUAGCCGGCCUGAGAGGGUGACCGGCCACAUUGGGACUGAGAUACGGCCCAGACUCCUACGGGAGGCAGCAGUGGGGAAUAUUGCACAAUGGGCGGAAGCCUGAUGCAGCAACGCCGCGUGCUGGAUGACUGCCUUCGGGUUGUAAACCGCUUUCGCCUGUGACGAAGCGUGAGUGACGGUAAUGGGUAAAGAAGCACCGGCUAACUACGUG
rnacentral:rRNA from 1 species